AGAGGACUUCAUUUUUUUAACUCCAGCAUUUCUCAAUGAAAAGAAGUCCCCAAAGCUUUGAAGCUACUGUGAGAAAAAGAGUCAGAGAUGUGCCGAUACUGACAUCAAACUGGCUGGCGACUCAGUCUGAAUGAAGAAAUACUGUGAAAUUACUGCUGAGGUCAGGGAAAGUGACCAGUGGCCAAUACUUACCUACUUUGAAACUCUCCCAGGAAAGUCUGGAUUCAAAAGUCAUGCUUUGCAAAAUUUAGACUGUAUCAAAAUAAUAAAGCAAAAUGGUAUUUUAAA